UAAGGAUCUAUGAUGCUAAGUUAAAAUUAUCUAUCUGAGUUUCAGAAAGCAAUUGAAGAUAUUUAUAAUAUUAUGAGAUCUUAU